UUACGGUCAAAUCACGCUGAAACACCGGUUCUCGUACGAUCACCGAAGGUAAGCAUCGUAGAGCCAGGUCAGUACUUAGAUGGGGGACCGCUUGGGAACACCUGGUACUGUAAG
rnacentral:rRNA from 1 species